GACGAACGCUGGCGGCGUGCCUAAUACAUGCAAGUUGAGCGCUGAAGGUUGGUACUUGUACCGACUGGAUGAGCAGCGAACGGGUGAGUAACGCGUGGGGAAUCUGCCUUUGAGCGGGGGACAACAUUUGGAAACGAAUGCUAAUACCGCAUAAAAACUUUAAACACAAGUUUUAAGUUUGAAAGAUGCAAUUGCAUCACUCAAAGAUGAUCCCGCGUUGUAUUAGCUAGUUGGUGAGGUAAAGGCUCACCAAGGCGAUGAUACAUAGCCGACCUGAGAGGGUGAUCGGCCACAUUGGGACUGAGACACGGCCCAAACUCCUACGGGAGGCAGCAGUAGGGAAUCUUCGGCAAUGGACGAAAGUCUGACCGAGCAACGCCGCGUGAGUGAAGAAGGUUUUCGGAUCGUAAAACUCUGUUGGUAGAGAAGAACGUUGGUGAGAGUGGAAAGCUCAUCAAGUGACGGUAACUACCCAGAAAGGGACGGUUAACUACGUG
rnacentral:rRNA from 1 species